GACGAACGCUGGCGGCGUGCCUAAUACAUGCAAGUAGAAGCUAGUUGCGAACGGGUGAGUAAUGUAUCGGAACGUGCCCGGUAGCGGGGGAUAACUAAGCGAAAGCGGAGCUAAUACCGCAUACUAUUGGAGCGGCCGAUACCGGGUUAGCUCGUUGGUGGGGUAACGGCUCACCAAGGCGACGAUCCGUAGCUGGUUUGAGAGGACGACCAGCCACACUGGUACUUAGACACGGCCCAGACUCCGACGGGAGGCAGCGUUGGGUAAUUGGGGACAAUGGGGGAAACCCUGCUCCAGCCAUCCCGCGUGUGCGAUGAAGGCCGUCGGGUUGUAAAGCACUUUUGGCAGGAAAGCGGUACCUGCAGAAUAAGCACCGGCUAACUACGUGCCAGCAGCCGCGGUAAUUC
rnacentral:rRNA from 1 species